AUCAACCUGAUGAGUCCCAAAUAGGACGAAACGCGCGUCCUGGAU
rnacentral:hammerhead_ribozyme from 1 species